AAACGUAGGAGGCGAGCGUUAUCCGGAUUUACUGGGCGUAAAGCGCGUGCAGGCGGCUCGAAAAGUUGGAUGUGAAAGCUCCUGGCUUAACUGGGAGAGGUCGCUCAAUACUUUCGGGCUUGAGGAUGGGAGAGGGAGGUGGAAUUCCGGGUGUAGUGGUGAAAUGCGUAGAUAUCCGGAGGAACACCAGUGGCGAAGGCGGCCUCCUGGCCCAUUUCUGACGCUCAGACGCGAAAGCUAGGGUAGCAAACGGGAUUAGAGACCCCGGUAGUCCUAGCUGUAAACGAUGUAGACUUGGCGUUGGUGGGUUCAAAUCCAUCAGUGCCGGAGCUAACGCGUUAAGUCUACCGCCUGGUGACUACGGCCGCAAGGUUAAA
rnacentral:rRNA from 1 species